CAGCAGCCGCGGGAAUACGAGGGGGGCAAGCGUUGUUCGGAAUUAUUGGGCGUAAAGGGUGCGUAGGCGGCUUGACAAGUCUUGUGUGAAAUCUAUGGGCUCAACCCAUAGUCUGCACGGGAAACUGUCGGGCUUGAGAAUGGGAGAGGUGAGUGGAAUUCCCAGUGUAGAGGUGAAAUUCGUAGAUAUUGGGAAGAACACCAGUGGCGAAGGCGGCUCACUGGACCGACACUGACGCUGAGGCGCGAAAGCGUGGGGAGCAAACAGGAUUAGAUACCCCUGUAGUCCCUGUCUCUUAUAA
rnacentral:rRNA from 1 species